rnacentral:lncRNA from 1 species
GAACUCGGCAAACCAGAUGUUGCGCCGGUUGUUGUCCAGCGUGCGGCUGGAGAAGUAGCGGUCGAAGCCUGGCAGGGAACCAGGACGUCAGGGCCUCACUGGCCUUCUUCCCCACCAGCCCCAGCCCUCCCCGCCUCCCCCAGGAUAAGAGAUGGUCCAGGCGGAGGGAGAGAGACCAGGAGGAGCACAUCCUCUGAUCCAGGAGAAAACAAAAUGUGGAGCAUUUCGUUUCUUUCAAAAUGAAAAGAGCUGUAUUAGGUCCCAGGGGGAUCGUGUGUAAUCUACAACUGCUGCCUUUAUGGAAGAGAAGCACACCGAUGAGGAUGUUUCCACGGCCUUUAACCGCUGCAAUGCUAACAGCGGGCUUUGAGAAGGAGCCGCCUGGGAGUCCUGAGAUUACAGCACAGAGGCUGGUGGGGCUGCCCAACCCGGGGAGCACCUGAAGAGGAGACCAGGCCAGACAAGGAGGGAGGGAACCACCCAGAUCACACAGCAAGACCAGGACCUGGACCUUCUUCCUUCACAUCCAGGACGUCCCCAUCACUGACAGAGGCUGCCUGCCUCCUCCACAUGCUCUGCGUGGCUCACACUUCUGCUCUCAGCCUUGGAAAGCCUGUCCUAGGGUGGGCAGGCUGGCGGUGAACAACACCCCCUCCUCCUCCCAGACGCCCCCCUGCCAUACUGACUGUUCUAGGCACUGUGGACUGAGCUGCUCUGUAUGGGCCAGAGGCCUGAAAGCUCAGCGGGGCCACGUGGAGCUUCCUGCCCAUGGAAGCGUCCAAGUGGAAGCAAAAUGACCGGCCACGUGGCAGGAGACGCACUGGCAUCGAGCAGGAGGUUUGGCCUGCAGUAGGAUUUCUCAGCCUCGGCACUGUGGACGCUCUGGGCGGGAUAAUUCCUGUGGGGGGCCAUCCUGUGCACCGUACGAUACUGAGCAGUACCCCGACCUCUACCCACUGGAGGCCAGCAGCAGCAUCCCCCAACUGUGACAACCAAAAAUGGCUCCAGAAAUUGCCAAAUAUCCCCUUGGGGGGCAAAAUCGCCCCCAGAUAAGGACCAUUGUUCUAAAAGUUUCUCUAAUGUUCCUGAGAGAAAAAGUACUUGUCAGGCAAGUCCUGGAUUCUGGUCCCAACUCUGCCACUCGCUGUACUGUGUGUGUCUCAAGCUCUCUGAGCCCUGUGUAUCCAUCUACUAAAUGCGGGGAAGAGUGCAUCACAGGGAUGCUGGGGAGGCUAAAGGAGAUGUCUGUAAGGGGCCUGGCACUGCUGGGGGCGAAGCCUGAAUGUAAAUAAUGGAGCCCAGGCAGCAGUGUUGUGGCCAGAGGGGGUUUCAAGGGCAGCAGCACUGCAGGAUGAAGCACCCAAGGCCAGCAGUGAGGAAUGGCAGGAGGCGCACCCCACAGUUCACCUGACGCAGCUGCUGACAGGCCCCAAGUUCCUGCUCCCUACCUUAUGCCUCCAGGAAUGGAUUUCUGUCCUCAAUAAGAAACUGAGCCCAGAAAGACGAAAUGAUUUUCCCAAGACCGCACAGCCAAUCAGCAUCCGAGACAGGGCACAGGUCUGCCCGAAGGAGCCUGACCUCUUAAGCACCUGCCGCCGCUUCUGCAAUGCAAGCUGGAGGAGACAGGGUGUAUAGGUAGAGUACCUGGUCUGACAGCCCUAGCUCCAAGUCCUGCUCUGACACCUGGCUGUGUGACCCUAGGCAAGCCACAUCACUUCUCUAAGGCUCAGUUCUCCCAUCUGCAAAAUGGGAAAAAAACACCUAGCCCACGGGUGUUUCACCUAGCCACAUGGUUAUUACCAGGAUCUGUAAUAGUCACAGGGGGUGUCUGGCCCAGGCAGGGCUCAGUCAAGGGCCACAGGAUUGCCCAGAGCAUGUGUAGACAAGGGUGGGAGUGGGGAAUGCCAGUGCCAGGGCUUCCUUUAGGCCUGGUGCCAGUGGCCCAGUCAGUAUUGGGCCACUCCAUGUGCCACCUACAGGCUCCCCACCUGCAGGACAGAGCCAGGUUCCCAUCCCAGCUCCUCCAUGUUCUAGCUCUGUGGCCUUGGGAAAGUGACCCACCCCCUCUGGCCUCCAUUUCCCCAUCUAUAAAAUGGGCAUAGUCAUGCUCCUCUGAAGCACCCAGAGACCAGCACACAGUUGGCACCCAGGACUCACUCACCACACUUCCAACAUGCAUCCCAGCCUGGCCAGCAUGCCCUCCCCACCACUCCCCUCUCUGGUGCUCCUCUGAGCAACUCACAGAUGAUUUAUACUUCAGAGUACGAAUCAAUACAAUAUACGGCCAAAGACAUCUUUAAUCUUUCACAGGGAUUAGGCUACAAGGUACAGUGGCCUCUUUCUACUGGCUGCUCAAUUCUGAUUUCAAUUUGGCCAGCUGAAGUGCAGCUCUCUCUCUCUCUCUUCCUUUCUUUUCACCCACUAAAAGAUGUUCCUCCAAAUCAAAUUUCAUUUAUUGGGUUGCGCGACGAGACCUAGCUGCCUGAACUGCCCUGGCCAGGCCCCCGUAGGAUGUUGCACACUGGCAUGGGGUGGCCUUGGAAGUUUGGGGACGUGGGAGGCCCAGCCAAGCAGGAAGCCAGGCCCUCAGAUGGUGCAUGGGGUGUGGCAGGUAUUGUGAGGGGCGCCUCUGCCAGGACAGGAGUGCCCCGAGCUGGAGGCCCUUGCAUAAUGGCAAAUUUUAUUUUUCUAGAUCAUGAAGUCCUUUUAAAAAAUCUUGAGUAGACUUUAUUUUUUCUAACCGCCCAAUACUUGAUUAGAUGUUGAUAAAAAAAAAAUUAAACAAUAGGCUUACCUUCAGCCAAAACACAAUGCCCAGACCCCAC